rnacentral:rRNA from 1 species
AUUGAACGCUGGCGGCAUGCUUUACACAUGCAAGUCGAACGGCAGCGCGGGCUUCGUCCUGGCGGCGAGUGGCGAACGGGGGAGUAAUGCAUCGGAACGUGCCCAGUAGUGGGGGAUAGCCCGUCGAAAGCCGGAUUAAUACCGCAUACGACCUGAGGGUGCAAGCGGGGGACCGAAAGGCCUCGCGCGAUUGGAGCGGCCGAUGUCGGAUUAGCUAGUUGGUGGGGUAAAGGCUUACCAAGGCGACGAUCCGUAGCUGGUCUGAGAGGACGGCCAGCCACACUGGGACUGAGACACGGCCCAGACUCCUACGGGAGGCAGCAGUGGGGAAUUUUGGACAAUGGGGGCAAACCUGAUCCAGCCAUGCCGCGUGCGGGAAGAAGGCCUUCGGGUUGUAAACCGCUUUUGUUCGGGAAGAAAUCCUCUGGGCUAAUACCCCGGGGGGAUGACGGUACCGGAAGAAUAAGCACCGGCUAACUACGUG